rnacentral:rRNA from 1 species
UACGUAGGGGGGCAAGCGUUGUCCGGAUUCAUUGGGCGUAAAGAGCGUGUAGGCGGCCAGGUAGGUCGGUUGUGAAAACUGGAGGCUCAACCUUCAGAGGUCGACCGAAACCAUCUGGCUAGAGUACGGAAGAGGCGAGUGGAAUUCCUGGUGUAGCGGUGAAAUGCUUAGAUAUGACAUAGAACACCCAUUGCGAAGGCAGCUCGCUACACUAUUAUUGACACUGAGGCACGAAAGCGUGGGGAUCAAACAGG